rnacentral:lncRNA from 1 species
ACACUUCUUUUCUUAAAAAUCAUAAACGGAAUAAUUAACUAAUUAUCCUUCAAAAUUCAAUAAAAUAAUAAUCAAAACUUUGCAGCGGAAUUUAUUUCAACAUCUAAAUAGUCUUUGGCACAAAGGCCUCAUCAUAACGUCUCAUAAAAUCCAAUCUAAAACAUAGUCAUGUAAAAUCAUAAGCAAUACGUAAGGAAUAGAAAAGCAUGCAACAAAGUCCCAUCUCGUUAUGUAUCAGAGCACCUAAAGACACACGUAAGGAGGAAACCACUCACGACAGCAACUUAAUCUCGAUCACCUGCAAGUUACUCAUACGAAGAGGAACAUUUCCAAGCAGAAGGGGUGAGAUUUCACAUUCAAUAAUAAUAAGUAUAUAAUUCAUCAAAAGCAUUUAACAACUUAAACUUCAUCAAUUAAUAACAUUAUUAUUCUUAUAAUACUUCAUUAAUAACUCAAUCAACUUCUAAUAAUCAUUAACUUCAUAUUCAUUACAUUAUACACAACGUCAUACAACAACAUAAACAUCACAUCAUAAACAUCAUAUACUUCACAUCAUAAACGUCAUCUUAUAACAUCAUAUAUUUCACAUCAUAACAUCAUCAUAUAACAACAUAACAACAUCAUAAUCAACAUCAUAAGCACAUCAUUAAAUUCACAUGGGUGAAUAAAAACUUAACAACAACGACACGACUUCAACUCGACAGUACAACUCAGACAUCUUACACAUCUUGAACCAUCUAGACAAAAUGCAACCACGACUUCUUAAUCAUGCAUGUAGUACCAAUCAGGGCAUCAAGCCCCCAACGUAUUGAGCGUAAAUAGGCUCACAGGGCAUCAAGCCCUCAACUUACAGGGCAUCAAGCCCUCAACAUAAUAUGUAUAAAUAUAGAUUACAGGGCAUUAAGCCCUCAACUUAAAUGAGGAUGCAUGGACUCAACAACUUACAACUUGGACAACAUCAACAACUUAUAUGACUCCAAUACUUUGAAACAACCUUUUAACCUUUGUAACUUAGACCAACACUCGCAACUUAAUAAAUAUUCAACAACAACAGAGGCAGCACAUAAACAGCUCACAACAUAACAACGUUAAUGAAUAAACAAUAACAACUUGAAUCAUAACAACAUUAAUAAUAACCACUUGGAUGGUAUAACAACAUUAUUUCUAUACCAU